AGAAACACCAAGCUCACCCAUGAAUACUUCAAUGAGGAGCACAGGCACCAGCUCUGACGGGAGUGACUGAGGGAGCUCCUGGUGAAAUGUGCCAAGGUUGCUGCAGUUGGAGAGGGGGCUCCACCAGCUCCACAUCCUGGGCAGACAGGAACACAGUCUCUUUCUGUAUCACACCCUUGUGCCAGGGCUGAUGACUCUCAGUUCAGGCAGACACUGUCAUCUAACGCCAGGCCACAAUGUCACCGAAAGCCAGGGAAAACACCUGUCCCGUGAUUCUUCACUGGAAUGGCUUCAGCAUGGAAUCUCUUCCCUCAGCUCAAUACAGACAACUUUGUGGCUCUCCUGUUCUCCAGUGUAGGAACACUGCUGCUUCAUAGAGAGAGGGGGAAUGGUUCUGCCUUACAGUACAUGCAGCAGCAGCAGCCGUGAUACACAUCUUUGGGGUGUGCAAAAGUACUUGGCCUCCCCACUCCCUCCCCACUCCCUCCUGGCACUGCAACAGCAGCUGGUACCAGGCUGCAGCGUUUCAGGAAUGAAAAGCCUGUGGAAUUCCAUGUGGGCCGAAGCAGUGCCUCUGCGCAAUCUCCGGAUGAUCUAUUCAAAGUGUGAAUAUUUACUAUUUUGAUUCAUCUCCAUGGAAGAGGAACCCACUAGCUGCUUCUAGUCAGCCAUCUUGAACCAGAAGCCCUUAUUUUACUUUUAUUUGUACUUUUUCUUUCAAAAAACUUUUUAAAUAUGUCAUUAAAAUGGUAAAUUUGCAAGUUUAAGUGAAAUCUAGUUUAGAAUUGAUGAAUUGUUAGUGAUGAUAUUCACAUCAUGAAAGUACUCAAUAGCAACUAGCCAAAGACAUUACUUUGAGGCAUGAAAAUAUCCUGUGUCUGUUUCUGCAAUAUAUGUUUAUUUCAGGAUAAAAAAAGAAAUUGUUUCUAUAAUGGAUUUUCACAUGGAACAAGUAAAAUGUUCUUGACUGAAUAUGUUGGCUGUCUUUUCUUCCAACAAACCAUUAGUUUACCAGUGUUGACAUUAGAAACAGCUCCUUACUAAAAAAUAAAAAUGUACCACCAAUGGAUCUCAGCUCUUAAGUGGAUUUCUAGUGACUAUGAUACUUGCAUGAAGUUCAGGGAUUGGAAUCUAUCACUAAUACUAUCCUAGAAUAAAAAUUGAAAUACAGAUUUAUUAUUUCUAAGCCUAAAUUAUUAAAAUGUUAUUGUAUACGUUUGAAAAUAUAAUUCAGCUCAAUAAGUACAGUAUUCACAGUUAAGAAGUAAACUGGUCCCACCAUCCUCUAAUCACCCC
rnacentral:lncRNA from 1 species